GUGAUGUGCCUUUUUAACUUCAUUCUGCGCGCCUCUUGGGUUUAUAUUGAAUUCGAAAAUCUUUUCUUCAUCCUCACACCACCCCCUGAGCCCUUCUCAUCGCCGCUACUCUCACUAACCCCUAUUUUGUCCACGCCUCUGAUCCAGAUUUGCCUCAAAUUUCAAUCUUCGCUGAAGAAUCUCACCAGGCAUUCUCGCUUUUGUACACUCCUGGUGUAAAAGCAAAUUUCGAGGCAAAAGACGACAAAAAAUUGUUUGACGUAGCAGGGACUAACUCCCUCCAAGUCGCCACCAUUGUUGAGCAUGCUCGCCUGAAAUGCCGGGAAUACUAGGUCGAGCUUGCACGCGUUCAGGCAGCCCCAAAAGAACUGGAGAAGUAGCUAAGUUCUGUUGAAGAGGAUCUGGAAAGAAAAGAAAAUGAAGUGGAAAAGCAGGACGAAGAGCUUUCCGAGCUGCGAGAGCUCUAAAGAAACGUCGAUGGAUGGAAAAAGAAACUCAAUGAACUUCAAAUUUCCCCAGAUCUAGGUUCCACUGAGCUGCUCCUCCAACUAAAAUGAGCUUUGCUCGGAAUUAUAAGGGAUUUUCCAGUGCUCGGUGAUUGUAACCUUAUGUCCCCGAAGAUCUCUGAACUCGAAGAAAUUAAGAAAUCCCUUCCAGCUCAGAUCGAGAAGGCACAGAAGAAGGCAAGAGAAGAAUUUAAAAAGUCCCCAGAGUUCGAGGCUUUAGUGGAUUAAUUUUCCAAGAAUUUCUUUUAGUGUUUAACGUUUUGCUAUUUAACAUAAUGUGGGAUUCACCAGCUUAGUCAUCAACGUUAAAUGUAAAACAGUGAAGAAAAUGUCGUGUGGAUUUGUUUUUCAG